UGGGGAAUAUUGGACAAUGGGCGCAAGCCUGAUCCAGCCAUGCCGCGUGAGUGAAGAAGGCCUUCGGGUUGUAAAGCUCUUUUGUCCGGAAAGAAAAGUUCCCGGUUAAUACCCGGGGAUCAUGACGGUACCGGAAGAAUAAGCACCGGCUAACUUCGUGCCAGCAGCCGCGGUAAUACGAAGGGUGCAAGCGUUACUCGGAAUUACUGGGCGUAAAGCGUGCGUAGGUGGUUCGUUAAGUCUGAUGUGAAAGCCCUGGGCUCAACCUGGGAAUGGCAUUGGAUACUGGCGGGCUAGAGUGCGGUAGAGGGCAGUGGAAUUCCCGGUGUAGCAGUGAAAUGCGUAGAGAUCGGGAGGAACAUCUGUGGCGAAGGCGACUGCCUGGACCAGCACUGACACU
rnacentral:rRNA from 1 species